rnacentral:lncRNA from 1 species
AGCAAUAGAAUGACGUCCUCUCUUCCGACUGUGCAGAGAAAAAAGUUCUCGCCGAUAGGUUUGCCUUGUUAGCUUCCGGCGGAUAUUUUCAAAUCCAUCACCAUGUGCGUUACCGCAAAGCUCGGUUCUCGAAAAGGCCUGCUCUUAAAGUUCUGUACAACGCAUGCAUUUAUACUUCAUCUGUGUUACAUUAGUUAACACAUUCUCUUUCUGAUGUUGCCACGUUUUCAGUUUCUGUAAUUAUCUUGCUGAUAAUGUUUCAGAAGUGUAGAUUUUGAAAUGAUGAACGAUUAGACAGUCUGUUUGUAUGUCUGCUUCACUACGAUUGACAAAACUUGCACAUCUACUUUCAAGCUGGUGAAAGCACGACUUCAAGAUGUAAACUAAAAAAGAAGAUGGUAAUUUCCGGCCACAAGUGUCAAAAUCUUAAAAUUAGGGUCGAAGAGAAAUAUACGUCUCCUUGCGGUAAACAGAAUACAGCACGGCAUUUUGCUUCAUAUACGUGUUAUUCAAAAGACAACAACAGUUUAAAGCCAAAGGAACCCAAUCUAACAAAUUGUGUCAGUCUUUGGACAUUGGAAAUUCUCCCCUUUGCUGAUGAAAUACCAUCUAUCAUUUAAUGGAUAUUUAACUAGAACAGAACGGAACAGAACAGAACAGAACGGACCAGAACAGAACUCUCAGUCAGCAUUUACAUCUCUGUAAACGGCAUCGAUAUUGCCAUUUAAUUUAUCAUAUAUUUAUCGAUUUAUAACUGGUAUUCUGCGGACUUCGUAAUUGAUACAUUGCCAUUUUCUUGACAAAAUAUUGAUAAAUCAGUUGAUAGACCGAUACCGAAGUUGGAUUUUGCUGUUAUCCGAAUUCAGAAAGCAGCAUAAUACAAUAAGUA